AUUGUGCAUGCGCACAGGCAUGGAAAUUUCUUUGGAGAUUAUUCUGGCAAGCUGGGUGUGAAUUUCGUUACAUUUCCAGUAAACACUGGGAAAAUAGAAUUAUGACUAUCAUUAUUCUAAGUGGAGAAUGAUUCGGACAAUUGUGAAAGAGAACCCGUUCAUACAACCUUUGGUUGUUAUCCCGGCUUCAGUAAGGCAGCAGGCCAUAUUCCCAAUUUUUUCCCAUUGAGGUCCACAAGCUCAUAUGACGAGGCACCCUUCUUGUGCACAAUUCGUGCUGGAAGAAAUUGUGGACCAUAUUUAGCAUUGUAUUGGUCCGCGGCGCUAGAUAAGGCCAUGUUGCGGCGAUACACGAGCUGUCCAACAUCGAAACUUUUACUGAAGUUCCGAUGCCGUAGAGCGUAUCGUUUUCUCCCUUCUUCGUGAGCAAUUUUGAGGUUCUUCUGAACCACCUCACGAAUUUUCCCGAACAUCUGUUCUUGAUGGGACAAUCGAUCUUCAGAGGCAAGUUCAUUAUCUCCCAGCCAGCUAUGAUCUCUACCGGUAGCAAGUAGCUCAUAACCACAGGCGAACGUCCCAAAGUCUCUGGUCCUCCUUGACGUAAGUACGGAUGGCUGCAUUGACUGUCCUAUUCACCCGCUCGACAGGAUUUGCCUGCGAGUGGUAUUUGGAGUUAAGCCAAUGUCGGAUCUGAUACUUGUCAAGUAGAGCUUUGAAUUCUUUGGAUAAGAAGCACGAAGCGUUAUCGGUAAUCACAACCUCGGGCGUUGAAUUGCGGAAAAACCACUGACCUCGGAGCGUAGCCGAAAGCGACACACUAUCGAUUCGCCGGAAAGGACAUAACAUUACCCACUUGCUAAACAAGUCUACGACCGAAAGGAUAUAUUGGUUUUGCUUCUUGCUCCGCGGCAGGGGGCCUAUGAAGUCUAGAGCUAUAAUUUGCCAUGGAUGAUCCGUCAUUCGCUGUUCACCUAAGGGAGGAGCCAUAGCUAUAUUUGGCGCUUUAGUUUCCUUGCAGAUGGUGCAUUUUUGAAUAUAUUCACGUAUAUCCGCAACCAGAUGAUGCCAGAAGUAUCGUUGACGAAUUCUCGAUAAGACGUUCUCCCGGGGAAGGAACUAAUUUCCAGUCGAAGCGGUUAUCAUGAGGUCCAUUCCGCUCUGGAAUAUAUUUGUACAAAUUCCCAUCGCGUAUUUGAAAAUCAACAUAAUCGUCAGGAUUCUCAAGGACCUUAUGCAAGAGUUCGUGAUAUUCAGGAGCAGAAAAAUCAGAAGAGACUGUGGCCGCACUCCGGGAUAACGCAUCCGGAACGACGUUCUCUUUUCCCUUUCUGUGCACGAGGGUCAGAUCAUGCUGCUGAAGGGCUAAACACCAACGGCUGCACCUGGAAGCUGUUUUCCAUUUGGCUGUUAAAAUAUGAGUUAGUGCUGAGGAAUCUGUUAUCACGAAGAAAUGAGAUCCUUCCACGUAUCCGCGGAAUGCUUCGAUGGACAGGAGAACUGCCAAUGCCUCUUUCUCGCAAGCGUGAUAAUUUUUCUGCGGUGUGGUCAGCUUGUGCGAGAAAAACUCUUUCGUGAAAUCAGGACUCAUCAAAAUAGGUGCUGAAAUUAGCCUUUCUUUUAUAUUAAUGAAAGCUUCUUCGGCUAACUGAUUCCAUUUUAAAACCUUAGAUUUAGUUUUUAACAGUUCUGUCAAUGGAGAUGUGAUGCCACUGAAGUCGCAUAUGAAUCGGCGAUAAUAGUUCGCCAUGCCUAAAAAUCGGCGCAACUUGGUAAUCGUCGUUGGCCGCUCGUAUUCGACAAUUGCACGAAUCUUCUCCGGGUUUGCUCGGAGCCCUUUUGUGGAUAGUAGGUAACCUAAGAAGGAAAGCUCUUUCACGCAGAAUUUGGAUUUAUCCAGGUUGAUGGAGAGGUUGGCCUUACAAAGACGCCUAGCCACCUCCUUGAGUAAAUUUAUGUGUUGAUCAAAUGUUUCGGAAACAACCACCAUGUCGUCCAAAUACACGAAAACAUGGGGUUCUAGUUCACCGUGUCCAAGAACCCUGUCCAUCAAACGAGAGAGGGUGGCCGGACUGUUGACUAGUCCAAACGGAAGGCGUGUAAAAUGGAACAUUCCACGUCCUUGGAUGCUGAAUGCCGUAUAGCGCCUGGAGUUUUUCUCUAACGGGAUUUGAAGGAAAGCCUCGCUCAAAUCUAUAGUGCUGAGAUAGUUCGCUUUAGGAAGUUGUCCCAAUAUGCGACCCGGAUGCGGUAAUGGGUACGCAUCGCGAACCGUUCGUUCAUUAAUUUUCCGUGCAUCUAGGCAAAGGCGAACCUUUCCUGAGGGUUUUAUCACGGGAACCACGUUGGAAGACCAAUCGGAGUGGGCUCUCUCAAUUAUUCCCCCUUUCAAUAAUCUAUCUAAUUCUGUCCCUACUUUUUGUUGUAUUUUCGGAGACAAAGUGUACGGGUAUUGUUUAACGGAUGGUUUUCCUUUCCAUUCAUCGGCAAUUUCGAUACGGUGUUCUA